CUCUUUCCUUUAUUGGAACAAAUCAGCCACUUUAGUGAAGGACAGAUUCCUGAAGAAAAGAAUGAAAGCACAGUUCCUGAAUCAAUAACACCUGUUGAAGGAGAUUGGCUCGUAUGGACUUCCACAAAGGCCUCAGAGUCAAGACUAGAGAGAAACCUAGUUGCAACAUUUAUCUUAAUUGUGAAACAUUUUAUUCAGAGACAUCCUAUCAACCAGGACAAUCUUAUUCACUCCCAUGGAGUUGCAACUCUUGGUGCUUUACUUCAGAAGGUGCCAAGCACCUUGAUGGAUGUUAAUGUGUUGAUGGCAGUUCAGUUACUAAUUGAACAAGUAUCAUUAGAGAAAAAUAUGCAGCUCCUGCAACAAAUGUAUCAAUAUUUACUCUUUGACUUUCGUAUUUGGAACCGUGGAGAUUUUCCCUUUCGAAUCGGUCACAUACAGUAUCUUUCAACCAUCAUUAAAGACAGCAGGAGAGUUUUCC
rnacentral:lncRNA from 1 species